GUCCACGCCGUAAACGAUGGGCACUAGGUGCUUAGGGGAGCGACCCUCUGGGUACCGGCGCUAACGCAUGAAGUGCCCCGCCUGGGGAGUACGGCCGCAAGGCUGAAACUCAAAGGAAUUGACGGGGGCCCGCACAAGCGGUGGAGCAUGUGGUUUAAUUCGACGCAACGCGCAGAACCUUACCUAGGCUUGACAUGCUGGGGAAAGCUGGUGGAAACACUGGCCCCUCUUCGGAGCCCCAGCACAGGUGCUGCAUGGCUGUCGU
rnacentral:rRNA from 1 species